GCAGUCGUGGCCGAGGGGUUAAGGCGAUGGACAAGAAACCCGUUGGGGUCUCCCCGCACAGGUUCGAAUCCUGUCGACUGCU
rnacentral:tRNA from 2 species